rnacentral:lncRNA from 1 species
AUGUCUCCGAAAAAGCAAGAAAGACAAGAAGCUGACCCCAGCUCUAUUCCAUGGUAUGAGUCCCUAGACCCUUAUAUGAGCUCUCUACCUUGGGAUGAACAGGUAGAAUUAGAGGAAAAGCGAAUGGAAGAAAUGCAGAAUGAAAAUCUCAUGAACAGAGAGAAGAUUAAGAUCCUGACGGAAGAAAAUGAGAGAAAGAGCGCUGAAUUAGAAAAAUUAUCCUACCAGCUUCAGGAAAAAGAAGGUAUUGAGGAGAAACAAUGGGCUCUCCAAGAUAAGAAGAAUCAGGUGCUCCAAGAAAAGCUGGAUGACGCUCUGGAAAAAAUUAAAGAUCUGCUCCAAAAGGAGAAAAAAGAGAGCAUAAAACAGGAAACCAUGGUCAGGAAGAAUCAGGAGCUCCAAGAAAACCUUGAUGAAGCUCUGGAGAAACUUAGAGAAAUCCACCAAGAAGAGAAACAACAGGCCGAGCAGAGAGACAUGCAGCGCAAACUCCAAGCCAUGGAGGAAAAACACAAAGCGCUGCAGGUGAAACAUGACAAAACUCUGCACAAAAAUCAACAGUUGCUUCAAAACAAGAAGCAAAUGGAAAUGAAACAGAAGGAAAUGGACUCCAAGCAUGACGAGAUGGAGGAAAAACACAGACUGCUCCAAAUCAAGCUUGAGAAAACAGUGCACAGAAAUAAAGAGUUCAUUGAAGAGAAAGAGCAACAAGAAAUCUUCGAGAAAGAAACGGACUCCAAGCUUGAAGUCUUGGAAGAAAAACUGAAAAUGCUGCAAGUAACUCUUGAGGAAACACUGCUCAAAAAUACAGAGAUGCUUCACGAGAAUGACCAACAAAAAAUACAAAAGGAAGAAAUGGAUUGCAGGCUGAGGAACAUCGAGAAACAAAAUAGAGGCUUGCAAGUAAUGCUUUAUGAAGCUCUCGAAAGGAAUAAAAAGUUCCUUUACGAGAAAGACCAAUGGAAAAUACAUCAGCAAGAAAUGGAGUGCAAGCUGAGGCACAUCGAGACACAAAAUAGAGGCUUGCAAGUAAUGCUUGAUGAAGCUCUGGAAAGGAAUAAAGAGUUCCUUCACGAGAAAGACCAACGGAAAAUACAUCAGCAAGAAAUGGAGUGCAAGCUGAGGAACAUCGAGAAACACAACGAAGGCUUGCAAGUUAUGCUUGAUGAAGCUCUGGAGAGAAAUAAAGAGAUUCUCCAAGACAAGAAACAACAGCCCGAAGAGCAGAGAGACAUGCAGAGCAAACUCCAAGCCAUGGAGGAAAAAUACAAAGCUCUGCAGGUGAAACAUGAUAAAACUCUGCACAAAAAUCAACAGUUGCUUAAAGACAAGAAGCAAAUGGAAAUGAAGCAGAAGGAAAUGGACUCCAAGCUUGAUGACAUGGAGGAAAAACACAGACUGCUCCAAAUCAAGCUCGAUAAAAAAGUGCACAGAAAUAAGGAGUUCAUUGAAGAGAGAGAGCAACAAGAAAUCCUCGAGAAAGAAACGGACCACAAGUUUGAAGUCUUGGAGGAAAAAUACAAAAUGCUCCAAAUAACUCUUGAGGAAACACUCCUCAAACAUAAAGAGCUGCUUCAAGAAAAAGACCAACAGAAAAUACAACAGGAAGAAGAAAUUUUUUUUCUCCACAAGAAAUAUCUAGCACUCCAAGAAUUGUAUAACGAAACGAGGUACAAAACAUCUGUACUGGAAGGAGAAAAGAAAAAAAUGGAAAAACAAUGCUCAGCGAUGCAGAGUAGCAUCAAUGAAAUGCUGAGAAAAAAUACCGAACUUGAAGAACUUUCUAAGACCUUGAAGUCCAAAAACACUGAAAUCCAGGCGCAAAAGCAAGAACAACAGAAAACACAUAAAGACCUGCAGUGUAGACUUCAAGAAAUCCAGAAGAGAAACCAGCAGCUGGAAGACAUGCACACAGAUGUGCACAAGGCAAAGCGAAUAGAGGAGGCAACAGUUAAAGAACUGCAAGACAAGCUUAAAGAAAAACAAGAACAAUUAGAAGACAUGGUGAAAAGAUGCAGCAAACUUGAGAAAGAAAACACAGAAACAAUGGAUGAGCUGAAAACCCUCAUCCUUGAGAAAAAAGUGCUCGUGGAACAUUGUCUGAAAAAGAAGAGAAAACGUUUCCACUGGUUCUGGAGAAGGGACACUGCUGCUUCUCACCUGAUGUAA